GGGGGCGAAUGGUAUCGACAGGGGUAAACAGCCUGGUGGUUGCAUGCCGAGGCGCCAUACCUCGUAAAAAGUGGCAACAAAAUAAUUGGCAUAAGCCAAGUUGCAUUUGCUGCAUAAGCGGCAAACAUCUCUCAGACCUUGUCUAUCAGGUCUGAAAAGAUGUCGGGAUGAUAGGCUGCUUCUGCUGAAGUUUCUCGGUCAGCAGGAAAAGACAUUAGAGAAUAGACUUUAGAAAAUCCUGUUCGGAGGAGUUUCUAAGGUUGAAUUUAAUAUCCGAAAAAAGCAUGUAGUGACUGUCAGUAUGUUACCUCUGGACGUGGGUUCGAUUCCCACCGCCUCCACCA
rnacentral:tmRNA from 1 species